rnacentral:rRNA from 1 species
UGCCAGCAGCCGCGGUAAUACCGAAGGUGCAAGCGUUACUCGGAAUUACUGGGCGUAAAGCGUCCGCAGGCGUCCUACAAAGUCUGACGUAAAAUUGCAGAGCUCAACUCUGCACGCGUGUUGGAAACUUGUAGGAUUGAGUCAUAUAGAGGCAACUGGAAUUUCAUGUGGAGGGGUAAAAUCCGUUGAUCCAUGAAGGAACGCCAAAAGCGAAGGCAGGUUGCUGGAUAUGUACUGACGCUCAGGGACGAAAGCGUGGGGAGCAAAGGGGAUUAGAUA